rnacentral:sRNA from 1 species
AAAUACCCGACCUUGCUGCACCAGAGAAAGAAGCAGCGAUUCCUCAGUAAACACAUCUCUCACCGCGGAGGUGCUGGAGAAAAUUUGGAGAAUACAAUGGCAGCCUUUCAGCAUGCGGUUAAAAUCGGAACUGAUAUGCUAGAAUUGGACUGCCAUAUCACAAAAGAUGAACAAGUUGUAGUGUCACAUGAUGAGAAUCUAAAGAGAGCAACUGGGGUCAAUGUAAACAUCUCUGAUCUCAAAUACUGUGAGCUCCCACCUUACCUUGGCAAACUGGAUGUCUCAUUUCAAAGAGGUAAUAUUUUUUGUUUGUGGCUUAAACAUUUGUGUUGAGAAGCAUAUGUGUGUUUUCUUGUCAUAGUAAGUUCUUACUAAAAGUAACUGACCUCUAAGUUUGUUCCCUCAGGCCUACAAAUCUGAAGACUUGAAAAUUAUCUGACGUGAAAUUAUCAGGUCCAAAGAGUUAAGUGAUUCAUUCUGCUUAAAUUCACGUACAGUUAACUUAAACCUGAACACUGAUUGCAAGAAACAUUUCACUUCUAAAGCUUCAAAUUCUAGAAUAUUGCCGCAACUUAUAUUAGUCAUCCAUCAAAAAAAUAAUAAAAAAUAAAUGAAAAGGGCUGGGCACGGUGGCUCAUGACUGUAAUCCCAGCACUUUGGGAGGCUGAGGCAGGCAGAUCACUUUAGGUCAGGAGUUCGAGACCAGCCUAGCCAACAUGGCAAAACCCCGUCUCUAC